AGAGAUAGACCCUUCUUCGGACUCAUUACAAGGUGCUGCAUGGUUGUCGUCAGCUCGUGCCGUGAGGUGUCAGGUUAAGUCCUAUAACGAGCGCAACCCCUAUCGUUAGUUGCCAGCGGGUCAUGCCGGGAACUCUAGCGAAACUGCCGGUGCAAACUGAGAGGAAGGUGGGGAUGACGUCAAAUCAUCACAGCCCUUACGUCCUGGGCCACACACGUGCUACAAUGGCCGGUACAGAGAGCAGCCACUACGCGAGUAGGAGCGAAUCUACAAAACCGGUCUCAGUUCGGAUCGCAGUCUGCAACUCGACUGCGUGAAGCUGGAAUCGCUAGUAAUCGCAUAUCAGCCAUGAUGCGGUGAAUACGUUCCCGGGCCUUGUACACACCGCCCGUCAAGCCAUGGAAGCUGGGGGUACCUGAAGUCGGUGACCGAAAGGAGCUGCCUAGGGUAAAACUAGUGACUGGGGCUAAGUCGUAACAAGGUAGCCUA
rnacentral:rRNA from 1 species